CUAACUCAAAAGAUGUAUCACAGACACAAUGUACACAAUGUGAUAGAAGAAUAACCCUUUUAUUCAUUUAUAGUCAAAAUUACAAAUUUACCCUUAGAUUUGUACAGAAAUGUGUCAGCCAAUCUGGCAUCUAGGGCACACAUCUAACAAACUCCCACUUGACCUAAUGCCAAUUGGCUACAUAUCUAAGUCCCAUCUUCUCAAGGUGGGCUUCGAUCUUUUGUUGG
rnacentral:lncRNA from 1 species